rnacentral:lncRNA from 1 species
UUAAAAUGUCUAGAAAGUUCAGCCAAAAGAAAAAUAACCUGCCGGCCUCUUGACAGUUAAGCCAAAAGAAAAUGAACCUGCCGGCCUCUUGCCUGUCCUCGUUUAUAACUCUCUCUCUCUCUCUCUCUCUGUGUGUGCAUGUUUGAGAUAGGGGAAUAGAUGGAACACUUCAGCCAUGAACAUCCUCUGACCAUCCUCAAUGAAGUGCCAAAACGUGAUCGUGUGCGGGAUUACUGUGGAGGGUGUGGGUUCCCAAUCGAUUCGGGUCCUUGUUACCACUGCGAGCAGUGCCGCUAUGACUUGCAUAAAUUCUGUGCAGAAUUACCCCAUGAGAUGAAACACCCAUGGCACCCCGAACACCCUCUCACUCUCGACACAGUCUCUCUUGAAUACAGUUGCAAGGCGUGCAACUUUAAGUCGACGUGGGUCACUUGCGUAUCAAUGUGAGCCUUGUAAGUUCAGGCUCCACUUGGAAUGUGCUUCCGUGAUGCAAAAUAUCGAACGCGAAUUUCACCCGCACCCUUUGAUUCUCUUGCUGCAGCCAGCCUCGUUUUGUUGUCAUGCUUGUGGCAGGACGCACGAAGGCGUGUCUUAUAAAUGUACUAGCUGUCAAUUCUGGGUUCAUGAGAGUUGUACUUCCAUGCCUUCCAGCAUCAAACAUAGCGAUCACCAUCACCCCCUCACUCGUGCUUAUACACUUGAGCGUUUCGGAUCUUUCAUCUUAUGUGGCAUCUGUCAAAAGGAUAUGAAAAUAAGGGAUUGGUUCUAUGAAUGUGUUGAAUGCAGAUAUUAUGCCCAUCUAAGUUGCGCAACAUCACAGAAGGACACUUCAGUGUUUGUCAUUUUUUCUCCACUUAUUUAUAUUACUUUUUUUUAAAUGAAAUGUAUCAAAAAAGUAUUGAAAAUUAUUCUGUGUCACAUGUUUUAUCCUAUGAAUACUUUUUUUUUUGGAUACAUAGCAUAGAUGUAUUUUUUUUCCCCAAUUGUCGCAUGCUUGUUAUUUAAUAUUAAUUUUGUUUGUUUCAGGGAUGAAGAAACUAAAAAUGAAGACGUUCUUGAUCUGAAUGUGAUCCUCCUGCCAGGUCCAGAUGAAUCUAUUCAUUUAAUCACCUCUUUCGUCGAAAGGACCCACGGGGAAGUGAUCAAAAUGGAAAAACAAUUGAACCAUUUAGGUCAUCACCACACGUUAACCCUUUUUGAUGAGCAAAUUAAAGAUGAACUGUUCUCUGAGAGCAAAGACAAUCUAUGUGAAGCAUGCGUAAAACCCAUCUUCACUCCAUUUUAUGGUUGCACUCCAUGUAAAUACUUUCUUCACAAAUAUUGUGCCGAGUUACCCAUUCAAAUUCAACACCCAUUUCACCCAAACCACCCACUUGACCUCCUAACAAAGGCUCCCAAGGAUUUUGGCCUAUUCUUGUGCCGAUGUUGUGAUAACCUAUGCAAUGGAUUCUCCUUCAAAUGUGCCAAGUGCAAAGAUUUCUAUCUUGAUGUUAAGUGUGGUUCCUUGUCAGGGCCUAUCAAACAUGAAUCUCACAAGCAUGUUCUUAUUCCGAAAAUCAUGUCACGUUACGAUUAUAAUUGUGCCUGUGAAUAUGAUUACGGUUAUUGUCGUGCCUGUCCAUCUGAUUUACUGUUUCGGGAUCGCGUAUUCACUUGUGACAUGUGCGAAUUCAUCAUGCACGCUAAAUGUGUUAUGUUGCCAACAUCUUUGAAGCACAAGUAUGACGAACAUCCCUUCAUCUUAACUUAUUCUCCUAUCAAAAACCAUCCAAACGAGUAUUACUGUGAAAUUUGUGAGGAAGAAAUGAACCCAAGGUAUUGGUUCUACAACUGUGUGGAAUGUGACUGGUCUAUUCACCCUGGGUGCAUGCACGAUCAAGAUCAAUAUUCGAAUGUCAAGUUUGGGGCAUACUUUGAGGUCGAAGGUCACCAACCACCCUCUCACUUUUAUUCAAUUUAGCAUGAAACUGGCUCUCUAUGCACCACUGUGCAAAAGACUACAUGAAUACAAUCCCUCACCCUGGUUUGAUGCAGCCUUGUGAUUCAGCUCCACCUUGAAUGUGCUCGAGAUGCAGCAAAAAAAGAAUAAUUUAUCUGCACGUAAUUGGAUUGAUCGCGUCAUUCUAAAAGUUCCAUUGGUGUCUGAAUAAUGAAGUUCCUCGCAUCAUUAUACUAGUUGGAUUUAGCCAACAAGUACGAGUCCAGUCGGCUUGAGCACUUACAUCUUAGUUAAAUGGUUUGAUUUUCUCCCUCUCUCUGAGUUGUAUUUGUUGUGUUCUUAUUUGUGGAUUACCCAAUACUUUUGGUUGUAUUGUUAAAUUUCCUUAAUGUUCAGUUUGAUACUUAACUAAGGUC